GGGUUACUGGAGGAGAGGUUUGGACUGGCUGGGUUACUGGAGGAGAGGUUUGGACUGGCUGGGGUACUGGAGGAGAGGUUUGGACUGGCUGGGGUACUGGAGGAGAGGUUUAGACUGGCUGGGGUACUGGAGGAGAGGUUUGGACUGGCUGGGUUACUGGAGGAGAGGUUUGGACUGGCUGUGGUACUGGAGGAGAGAUUUGGACUGGCUGGGAUACUAGAGGAGAGGUUUAGACUGGCUGGGAUACUGGAGGAGAGGUUUAGACUGGCUGGGAUACUGGAGGAGAGGUUUAGACUGGCUGGGAUACUGGAGGAGAGGUUUAGACUGGCUGGGAUACUGGAGGAGAGGUUUAGACUGGCUGGGAUACUGGAGGAGAGGUUAGGACUGGCUGGGAUACUGGAGGAGAGGUUUAGACUGGCUGGGAUACUGGAGGAGAGGUUUAGACUGGCUGAGAUACUGGAGGAGAGGUUUAGACUGGCUGGGAUACUGGAGGAGAGGUUAGGACUGGCUGGGAUACUGGAGGAGAGGUUUAGACUGGCUGGGAUACUGGAGGAGAGGUUUAGACUGGCUGGGAUACUGGAGGAGAGGUUUAGACUGGCUGGGAUACUG